CUUAAUUCCUGUGACUCUUCGCAUCUAGGCAGGUGACAAGGAUCUGAAAUCAUACUGUGUAUGGCCAAGCAAAGUUGCUGUACGGGCUGAGUCUUCUGCUGCAAGAUGUCUGAAAAUGCGUCUUGGUUAUCUGUGUUGUGACUUAUUUGAACAUACGUCGGCUUUCCUCCAUUUAUCGGAAUCUCUACUAGAAGUGAAAAGAAUGGGGGAGAAAGCAUAUUGCCUCACUGAGCCGAAGUUAUUAUUGUUAUUUACAGCGACAGAGAGGAAGGUGGAAAUAACAGCGAUUUGCUUUUGGUGGUCUUCACACGCAGGUCAGGAACCGAGGACUGGACUUGGGGGUGGAGAGGUACGUCACCAGGUCACCAGAGGCAGCACGCUAUUCUCCUAGGUUUGCUUUACUAUUCUUAGAAGCUCUUUCAGUGUGGAGCUGAUGGCUUCUACUUCUCUUCAUCCACAGCACUAGACCUAUAGAUUGGUUAACUUUAUUGGCUUCUUUUUUAUGCAUCACAACAGAUAUCGAGUCUUUAAAACAUGGUGUUACCGUGCCUUUAAUGUAAGGGUGGAAAUUGCCACCACUGAAAAAUCUUGACAUCACUCAACUUUCUGGGACCCUGUUUUGGUUCCCAGGGCAUCUGAGUUCUUAACGUACCUUGAAACCUCAACACAUCGCUUAUUGCUUCCAGAUACCGAGGCCAUCCUCUCUUGGAAACGCUGUGCUCCCCUACUCAAUUGCAAACAGUGGUAAAGGAAUGCUAUAUUGGUGGCCUAUUGUUCUAGCCUGGCAGCCCCUGGAAGACAUUUGUAACAUGUUUUUUAAGUUUUGGAUUUUAAAGCGAAUAUUUACAGGGUCAGCUGUGUAAUGUUUUUUCACUAAUUAGACUAAGUCCUUACAGUUCGCCCCUCCUUUGUGUUGUAUGUUUACUGUGACCUAUAUAACACGCAAAGAUACAUAAAGUCUUUAGUAAAACACGUAAUAAGUAAUUAAGUAACUUCAUUAUUGAGUUCUUGGCCAGGGUCUUUUUAGCCACAUCUCCCUCCCUUCCCUUCUUCCCUUUGUUUUGAAGGCUCUCCAGGCCUGUGCCUUCGGGGACCCAUAAUUACUCGGCCUUUGUUCCCAGUGGGCCCUCUGUUCUCUGGGCCCACCUCCCUGAGCGAUGUAGUGGGUCCAGGGGUUUUAUUCUCCCAUCCCUUGAGGGGUCUUGUGGCUCUGUUGAAUUUCAGGCCUGGGAUUUCCAGAGAUCUUCGCUGGGCAACACUGGGUGGCCUGGCCUGCCUCCUUUACUCUCAGUGCUAUAGAGCUGUGAGCAAAGAGCAUUAGUGGAGGAGGGGAAAAAAAACUGCCCACCAGCUGGGGUCUGGAGUGCAGUUCCACCCUGGGUUGCAGGAUU
rnacentral:lncRNA from 1 species